CAGUUAUCACGUACCCUAUCUUUCUUCAAUUUUCUCCUAUAACCAUUACCUCAGUUUUCACCGUACCCUAUCUUUCUUCCAUUUUCUCCUAUAACCAUUACCUCUGGGCUGGUAGCACGACGUCACAGGAGGCGGGACAGGCGCCGCCAAGCUGUACCACCACCACCACAACCACCACCACCACCACCACCUGCUGCGCUGCCAGUACCAACACCACCACCACCACCACCACCACCUGCUGCGCUGCCAG